rnacentral:misc_RNA from 1 species
AAGUCGUAACAAGGUCUCCGUAGGUGAACCUGCGGAGGGAUCAUCAUAGAAAACAAUAUUCUAAACCCCAAGUGUUAGGGAAAGAAGGGGGGAAAGAGAAGGGUUAUUACUCUUUUUUUUUCUCCUUCUUUUCCUGAUGCUUCAAACAAACGAUCACAACUAAAGAGAGAAAAUGUGUGGAUACCUGGGUUUUUUUUCGAGGGGAAUUUAUAAAAGUGCUUGCCUGAUAAUCUGAUUAUUGGAAUUGGAAAGAGAAAACAAUAUACAACUUUCAACAACGGAUCUCUUGGCUCUCA